rnacentral:lncRNA from 1 species
AGAGAGCGGGGGCAGCAGUGCCGCUGCUCGGGGAGGCGGGGGACCGCGUGGAGCCACAGGGCAGGCCCUGAGGGAAAGAAAGAAAGUGCCGGGAAAGGAGGGAGAGGGAUGGCAGGAAGGGAAAUAAAAGAUGUGCGCAGUGACGUGGAUGCUCUGCCCCAGGUCCUGCGGAGGUCAGUGACCUCAGACAACGCGUGGGAGCGCAAGAGGGCACUGCAGGCCUGCUCCCAGCUGCUGGCUGCUUGUGAAGAGCUUCGAAGAGGAGAUGCCUGCAAACACUUUGGCUCCUUGGUGGGAUUGCUGGCGCCGCUGACGUGUGACCCCAUGCCCACGUCCCGCCAGUUGGCCGUCACCUGCCUGAGCUCCCUUCUGCGAAUGCAAGGUGAGUAGAGCAGGCGUGCGCCAGCCCUCUGCUCUCCUCCGCGGCACUACCAGGACCCCGCGGGCAGGGCCCUGUUCACAGGAGGUAGAGGCCCCGUGUGCAGCUGCCUUCUUAGCCCCACCCUGUCCUCUGUCUCUCCCCCGUGGCAAGCGGUUCCGUUUCCAGAAGCAUGACUUCCCUUUUCUCCCCGUGCUCUUUCCAGCCAAGGAGACCAACGGAGUCAUCGAGACGAGAGACAUCGGGAGUCUGCGUGAGGGGCUGAAUGCCUGCAGCACCGUCUCUCAGCUCCAGUCCUCAUCCAAAAUCGCGAGGGUCUUUUGCAGCAGCUUCCCCCUGGAACACGCCGUGGACUUCAUGACGGCCAUCAAGGAGACCUUCCGGGAAGCCAAAGGAAUGCGUGCGCGUGCUGCUGGGAAGUGGAUGAUCACCUUCCUGCAGAUGUACAGAAAGGACAUCCACUGGGACGUGCCACUGAUCCUCUACAUCCUGCGCAGCUGUGUGCGCUCCAUGCAGCAGAGCAUGUUCCUGCCCAUCCUGUGCCAGGCAGUGGUCAUCCUCACACACUGUCACGCAGAGCUCGCCAUUGACAACUUCUUCCGGCUGCUUGAGCCCACAGACAGUGACACGUGGAGGAAAAGAAUAAGAGCAUUUUCUCUUCGAGAGGGGAGCCGGUAGAGGAAUGCAAAGAACAGGAAAGCCGAG